rnacentral:rRNA from 1 species
UACGAACUGCGCAAACGUUAUUCGGAAUCACUGGGCUUACAGGGUGCGUAGGCGGCGGGGAAAGUAGGGUGUGAAAUGCCUUGGCUCAACCAAGGCACAGCGCUCUAAACUACCUCGCUCGAGUGAGUCAGGGGUACGCGGAACUUCCGGUGGAGCGGUGAAAUGUGUUGAUAUCGGAAGGAACACCGGUGGCGAAAGCGGCGUACUGGGGCUCAACUGACGCUGAGGCACGAAAGCCAGGGGAGCAAACGGG